UACAGGGGGGGGCAAGCGUUGUUCGGAAUUACUGGGCGUAAAGGGUUCGUAGGUGGCUUACUAAGUCAGACGUGAAAUCCCUCAGCUUAACUGGGGAACUGCGUCUGAUACUGGAAAGCUUGAGUGCAGGAGAGGAACGCGGAAUUCCAGGUGUAGCGGUGAAAUGCGUAGAUAUCUGGAGGAACACCGGUGGCGAAGGCGGCGUUCUGGACUGCAACUGACACUGAGGAACGAAAGCCAGGGGAGCAAACGGG
rnacentral:rRNA from 1 species